rnacentral:rRNA from 1 species
CCAAUGCCAUGCCCAGUACGGCGAGUGAGCGGCAACAGCUCAAAUUUGAAAUCUGGUCCCUAGGGCCCGAGUUGUAAUUUGUAGAGGAUGCUUUUGGUGAGGUGCCGCCCGAGUUCCCUGGAACGGGACGCCACAGAGGGUGAGAGCCCCGUCUGGCUGGCCGCCGAGCCUCUGUAAAGCUCCUUCGACGAGUCGAGUAGUUUGGGAAUGCUGCUCAAAAUGGGAGGUAUAUGUCUUCUAAAGCUAAAUAUUGGCCAGAGACCGAUAGCGCACAAGUAGAGUGAUCGAAAGAUGAAAAGCACCUUGAAAAGAGGGUUAAAUAGUACGUGAAAUUGUUGAAAGGGAAGCGCUUGUGACCAGACUUGGGCGCGGCGGAUCAUCCGGGGUUCUCUCCGGUGCACUUCGCCGCGUCUAGGCCAGCAUCAGUUCGUCGCGGGGGAAAAAGGCUUCGGGAACGUGGCUCCUCCGGGAGUGUUAUAGCCCGUUGCAUAAUACCCUGCGGUGGACUGAGGACCGCGCAUCUGCAAGGAUGCUGGCGUAAUGGUCACCAGCGACCCGUCUUGAAACACGGACCCAA